rnacentral:rRNA from 1 species
GAUGAACGCUAGCGGCAGGCUUAAUACAUGCAAGUCGUGGGGCAGCAUGAGUAGCAAUACUUGAUGGCGACCGGCAAACGGGUGAGGAACACGUACACAACCUUCCUUCAAGCGGGGAAUAGCCCAGAGAAAUUUGGAUUAAUACCCCAUAAUAUAUUGAUAAGGCAUCUUAUUAAUAUUAAAGCUUCGGCACUUGAUGAUGGGUGUGCGGCUGAUUAGAUAGUUGGCGGGGUAACGGCCCACCAAGUCUACGAUCAGUAGCUGAUGUGAGAGCAUGAUCAGCCACACGGGCACUGAGACACGGGCCCGAUCCUAGGGAGGCAGCAGUAAGGAAUAUUGGAC